UGAGGAAUAUUGGGCAAUGCCCGCAAGGGUGACCCAGCAACGCCGCGUGGAGGAUGAAUGUCGUAAGAUUGUAAACUCCUGUUAGAGGGGAAGAAUAGUACCGGUUGGACCGGUAUAUGACUGUACCCUCAGAGAAAGCCCCGGCUAACUACGUGCCAGCAGCCGCGGUAAAACGUAGGAGGCGAGCGUUAUCCGGAUUUACUGGGCGUAAAGCGCACGCAGGCGGCUCUGUUAGUCGGACGUGAAAGCUCUCGGCUUAACCGGGAGAGGCCGUUCGAUACUGCGGGGCUUGAGGUAGGGAGAGGAAUGCGGAAUUCCCGGUGUCGUGGUGGAAUGCGUAGAUAUCGGGAGGAACACCUGUGGCGAAAGCGGCAUUCUGGCCCUCACCUGACGCUGAGGUGCGAAAGCGUGGGUAGCAAACA
rnacentral:rRNA from 1 species